rnacentral:rRNA from 1 species
AUUGAACGCUAGCGGGAUGCUUUACACAUGCAAGUCGAACGAGUGGCGGACGGGUGAGUAAUAUAUCGGACGUGCCCAGUAGCGGGGGAUAACUACUGGAAACGGUAGCUAAUACCGCAUACUAUCGGAUAACCCAUCUGGGAUUAGCUAGUAGGUGAGGUAAUGGCUCACUUAGGCGACGAUCCCUAGCUGGUCUGAGAGGAUGAUCAGCCACACUGUGACUGAGAAACGGCCCAGACUCCUACGGAGGCAGCAGUGGGGAAGAUUGCACAAUGGGCGCAAGCCUGAUGCAGCCAUGCCGCGUGUAUGAAGAAGGCCCUAGGUUUGUAAAGUACUUUCAGUCGGGAGGCGUUACCGACAGAAGAAGCACCGGCUAACGCCGUGCCAGCAGCCGCGGUAAUUC